rnacentral:tRNA from 1 species
GCCGGCCUUAGCUCAGUUGGUAGAGCAUCUGAUUUUGUAAUCAGAGGGUCGCGGUGUUCAAGUCAAUGUAGCCGGCA